ensembl:lincRNA Gm45168 predicted gene 45168
GCAGAGGUCGCCUGCUUUCCUAGCAGUUCCCACGAGCCAGACCCGGGCUGCCACGCAGGGGCAGGGGUCAGGCGUGGAGGCAGACUGUCCCGGUGCCCCCAGCCAGGCCGCUGGCGAGUCUGGCGCCGCCGCCGGGGAGCAGGGGCCCUGAGCUCUCUCCUCAGCGUCUGGACAGGCCGAGGAGGCAGACGAGGCACAAGUGACAGCUGGGAAGGUUUAAUUGCUCCUCAGUGGCUUGGGAGCACCUCCCUCCUUUGCCAGCGAUCUGCAUUUCAAUGUAGGAAGAGUGGAAAGUAAAGUAGGAUUGCCGCUCAAAGGGGUUACAAUGAUUAAUCAUUUAAAAAGCAAGAUCUUAAUUACAGGCCGCAAUUUUUGCUAUUUAAGGAGUCCAUUAGUUGCCAGAAAGAAGAAGAAAAAAAUUAUCACAGGUUAUUCUCCCAAAGUAGAGUGGAGAAGGGAGGGGCAGCGGGGGAGGGACUCAGCUGCUGCUUCGGAUGGGGGCGGGAGGNNNNNNNNNNNNNNNNNNNNNNNNNNNNNNNNNNNNNNNNNNGGUUCCACCCCUGCAAGAGGCCUAGCCCCAGACAGGCAGGGCCCCCGGCUCUGAAGCAGAGACUGGGAAUGGCCGGCCAGGCCGAGGCUGGAAUUCCACCUGCUGAUGUCCUGAUCCUCGGGCGACUAAAGCGUCGAGAUCCCGUUCCUCAAGCUCUCCGCACCCUUCACAGUGAGCACACCUCUGUCGUUGGCACCAGCCCAGGAGGUCCAGCCCUGCACUCCACGUGAUGGACGGCACCUUUAUCCCAGAAGCCCCGGCAGGCAACAAAGGGGCCACCCAGUGUAGAAGUUGAUCUGGGGGUGUCAGAUCCCACCCCAGCCCUGAACUGCAACUUUUGGGGGACACUACCAGUGCAAACGUUAACCUCAAUGACUGUAAAGUGUAAGCUGCACCCGGGCUUUGUGCUCUCCGUGUCCCUAGGACAGCCUGGCUUGAAAACAAGUUUACCAGUCUACCGGGAGGGAGGGAAGGGUUUGUUCAUCCCAAGCCUGCUCAGACUGGGCAUAAAAGACAUGGAAUCACGCCCAUGAACAGCCAC